GAUGAACGCUAGCUACAGGCUUAACACAUGCAAGUCGAGGGGUAACGAGAGGGAAGCUUGCUUUCCUUGUCGACGACCGGCGCACGGGUGAGUAACGCGUAUCCAACCUGCCCCCAACUAGGGAAUAACCUUGCGAAAGUAAGACUAAUACCCUAUAAUUUCCUCAGAUGUCAUCUGACGAGGAAUAAAGAUUUAUCGGUUGUGGAUGGGGAUGCGUCUGAUUAGCUUGUUGGCGGGGUAACGGCCCACCAAGGCAACGAUCAGUAGGGGUUCUUGGAGGAAGGUCCCCCACAUUGGAACUGAGACACGGUCCAAACGACUACGGGAGGCAGCAGUGAGGAAUAUUGGUCAAUGGGCGGAAGCCUGAACCAGCCAAGUAGCGUGCAGGAUGACGGCCCUAUGGGUUGUAAACUGCUUUUAUACAGGAAUAAAGUUAGCCACGUGUGGUUAUUUGUAGGUACUGUAUGAAUAAGGACCGGCUAAUUCCGUGCCAGCCGCCGCUGUAA
rnacentral:rRNA from 1 species